rnacentral:rRNA from 1 species
GAGUUUGAUCAUGGCUCAGAUUGAACGCUGGCGGCAUGCCUUACACAUGCAAGUCGAACGGCAGCACGGGAGCUUGCUCCUGGGUGGCGAGUGGCGAACGGGUGAGUAAUGCAUCGGAACGUAUCCUGGAGUGGGGGAUAACGUAGCGAAAGUUACGCUAAUACCGCAUAUUCUGUGAGCAGGAAAGCGGGGGACCUUCGGGCCUCGCGCUCUUGGAGCGGCCGAUGUCGGAUUAGCUAGUUGGUGAGGUAAAGGCUCACCAAGGCGACGAUCCGUAGCAGGUCUGAGAGGAUGACUCUGCCACACCUGGAAC